rnacentral:rRNA from 1 species
UGAGGAACAUGUCUUUCGGCGGGGAAUAGCCGGCCUAACGGCCGGGUAAUACCGCGUACGACGAUUGGGGCGCAUGCUUCGAUCGUGAAAGCAGCAAUGCACCGAUAGAGUGCCUCGCGGCCUAUCAGCUAGUUGGUGAGGUAAUGGCUCACCAAGGCGACGACGGGUAGCUGGUCUGAGAGGAUGAUCAGCCACAUUGGGACUGAGACACGGCAGA